rnacentral:rRNA from 1 species
UACGGGGGGAGCAAGCGUUGUUCGGAUUUACUGGGCGUAAAGGGCGCGUAGGCGGCCACCGCAAGUCGACUGUGAAAUCUCCGGGCUUAACCCGGAAAGGUCAGCCGAUACUGCGGGGCUAGAGUGCAGAAGGGGCAACUGGAAUUCUCGGUGUAGCGGUGAAAUGCGUAGAUAUCGAGAGGAACACCUGCGGCGAAGGCGGGUCUCUGGGCAACAACUGACGCUGAGGAGCGAAAGCGUGGGGAGCGAACAGG